rnacentral:rRNA from 1 species
AUUGAACGCUGGCGGCAGGCCUAACACAUGCAAGUCGAACGAGUGGCGGACGGGUGAGUUAUGUCUGGGCAACUGACCGAUGGAGGGGGAUAACUACUGGAAACGGUAGCUAAUACCGCAUACCAUCGGAUGUGCCCAGAUAGGAUUAGCUAGUAGGUGGGGUAAAGGCUCACCUAGGCGACGAUCCCUAGCUGGGCUGAGAGGAUGAACAGCCACACUGGAACUGAGAAACGGUCCAGACUCCUAAGGGAGGCAGCAGUGGGGAAUAUUGGACAAUGGGCGAAAGCCUGAUGCAGCCAUGCCGCGUGUAUGAAGAAGGCCUUCGGGUUGUAAAGUACUUUCAGCGAGGAGGCGUUACUCGCAGAAGAAGCACCGGCUAACUCCGUGCCAGCAGCCGCGGUAAUAC